GGAACUGAGACACGGUCCAGACUCCUACGGGAGGCAGCAGUGGGGAAUAUUGCGCAAUGGGGGAAACCCUGACGCAGCAACGCCGCGUGGGUGAUGAAGGUCUUCGGAUUGUAAAGCCCUGUUUUCUGGGACGAUAAUGACGGUACCAGAGGAGGAAGCCACGGCUAACUACGUGCCAGCAGCCGCGGUAAUACGUAGGUGGCGAGCGUUGUCCG
rnacentral:rRNA from 1 species